rnacentral:rRNA from 1 species
GAGCAGCCCAGAGCCUGAAUCAGUGUGUGUGUUAGUGGAAGCGUCUGGAAAGGCGCGCGAUACAGGGUGACAGCCCCGUACACAAAAAUGCACAUGCUGUGAGCUCGAUGAGUAGGGCGGGACACGUGGUAUCCUGUCUGAAUAUGGGGGGACCAUCCUCCAAGGCUAAAUACUCCUGACUGACCGAUAGUGAACCAGUACCGUGAGGGAAAGGCGAAAAGAACCCCGGCGAGGGGAGUGAAAAAGAACCUGAAACCGUGUACGUACAAGCAGUGGGAGCCUCUUUAUGGGGUGACUGCGUACCUUUUGUAUAAUGGGUCAGCGACUUAUAUUCUGUAGCAAGGUUAACCGAAUAGGGGAGCCGAAGGGAAACCGAGUCUUAACUGGGCGUUAAGUUGCAGGGUAUAGACCCGAAACCCGGUGAUCUAGCCAUGGGCAGGUUGAAGGUUGGGUAACACUAACUGGAGGACCGAACCGACUAAUGUUGAAAAAUUAGCGGAUGACUUGUGGCUGGGGGUGAAAGGCCAAUCAAACCGGGAGAUAGCUGGUUCUCCCCGAAAGCU